rnacentral:rRNA from 1 species
GAUGAACGCUGGCGGCGUGCUUAACACAUGCAAGUCGAACGAAGCACUUUACUUGAUUUCUUCGGAAUGAUUGUUCUGUGACUGAGUGGCGGACGGGUGAGUAACGCGUGGGUAACCUGCCUCAUACAGGGGGAUAACAGUUGGAAACGACUGCUAAUACCGCAUAAGCGCACAGUACUGCAUGGUACAGUGUGAAAAACUCCGGUGGUAUGAGAUGGACCCGCGUCUGAUUAGCUAGUUGGUGGGGUAACGGCCUACCAAGUCGACGAUCCAUAGCCGGACUGAGAGGUUNAACGGCCAACAUUGGGAACUGAGAAACGGUCCAGACUCCUACGGGAGGCAGCAGUGGGGAAUAUUGGGCAAUGGGCGAAAGCCUGACCCAGCGACGCCGCGUGCGGGAAAGAAGGUCUUCGGAUUGUAAACCGCUUUUAUGAGGGACGAUAAUGACGGUAACCUCAUGAAUAAGCACGGCUAACUACGUGCCAGCAG